UGUCAUCUGGCAAAGUGACACGUGCAUUUCAUUUACUCUCCCUGUGGCUUUUAAACAUAAUUUUUGUACACAGGUGGAACCACAAGUGUUUGUUCCUUAUGGAAAAGGUAGCAUGGAGACUUCUUUAACACUGAGAACCUUAGAACUGAAUAGACACAAAAUCACAAGGAACUUUAAAUUGUAAUGUGAUUUCCUGACAUAGAAUCAGAAACCUUCACACACUUCUGUGAAGCCAGACAUCUUUGAAGGAUACAGAGGACACACAGCUAUCAAUAUAUAGAUUGGAGCGGGGACGGAGGCGGCUUCUGGGGCGCCAUGGUGAACGCGGGAUCCCCACCUGGACAAUGUACCAACAUUUCCACCGCUUCAAAUUGCCCGCGGCUGAAACAGAGCCCGGGACUUCUGUCGAGGAGUGAUAGCGUCACCAGCGUUAACGCAAGAUCCAGGAACACAGAAGGAUAAGACGCGGCGUGAUGGCGUCACAGAGCGCGACGGGAAAACAGGAAGACAGUAGUGAAACGUCUUCAAUGACGGAGGCGUUGGCUUCCGGAGUCCCAUUGAGGACCUUGGGUCCAGGUCGGCACCGGGACGUAUGUACGUACUCAGGAAUCUGCGAUGGACACACCCGGUGCUCCCCCUGUUUCAAAACCCCCGCAAAGGACGCUUAGCCUGGCACUUCCGGCCAGGAGUGAUGGCGUCACGGGAAUCAGGAAGAGAGGAGGGCUGUGGAAAUAAAGGCAGAGCAGAGAUAUCUGGGCGUGGUCCAAUGUCCUGGUGUGACCACAGCAAACAGUAAGAGCGUGAGGAGGUGGGCGCCGCCUGAGGUCAUCACUGACCCGAUCACAGGAAACAGGCCAAGUCACAGAACUGAACUAGGUAACUGGAGCCAUCCCGGCUUGAAAACGUCACAGGAGCCACAAAGUUACGGGAGAACCGGGUGAGAUGGUCCGAUGUGGCGCGGCAUGAAGUCGUCAUGAAGUGUGACAGUGACACCGCGACCAGGAUACAAUUAAAGAGUGACAUGCUCCAGGCACCGGCGCCCCGCGGCGCGACAGAAUAGCGACGGUCCUGAGGGACUCAGGCCGCGGCAUUCAAAGUGCUGACCCGGAAUCUUGAUGACUUUACUUGAUGGUGACAGCGGGGACUGGAUGCACACGCGCAGUCACGUCUUCUGAGGCUCUUCCCACAGCUUGGCACAAGUGUAUGUUACUGAUGUGCAGUGAGCUGUGCUUUGGGAUCCAGUGAAUGUCCGUCAUGGUGACAGGGGGCGGGGUAGAUGCUGUGAGUCUAGCCCUUUUCUUGCCCAUUCUGAUUCAAACAUUCCUAAAUGGUGAAAGAAUUGGGCGGGUCUGCGUGC
ensembl:lncRNA